UCGGCCUUAAGGCCGCGGUUUCCCAUGGUCAUUAAACAUAGGAUGGAGGUUGCGCUCGUUACCCCACUGAAGGGUACACUUCACAGCACGAGCUGACGACAGCCAUGCAGCACCUGUUCUGCACUCUCGAAGAUCACACGUUUCCGUGCGCUAGCAGCAGAAUGUCAAGCCCUGGUAAGGUUUCUCGUUUGUUGUCGAAUUGAACCACAUGUUCCACCGCUUGUGCGGGUCCCCGUCUAUUCCUUUGAGUUUUAGCCUUGCGGCCGUACUCCCCAGGCGGAGUGCUUAACGCGUUAGCUUGUAACAACGACACAGGGAGGGUCGAUACUCCCUAUAUCUAGCACUCAUCGUUUAGGGCGUGGACUA
rnacentral:misc_RNA from 1 species